rnacentral:rRNA from 1 species
AUGGCCGGAAUUGUCAACAAAGAAUUUCCUGAGUUGGCCCAGACAGGGCUGAACUACCUGUCAUGGUCCUCGGACUGCGAGAUCUUUCUCCAGGGCAAAACCCUCCUGAGGGCGAUCGGUAAGGGGGCCCAGCUGGCCGCCACUGAUCCGAAGUUCGAAACUGAGAAUGCGCAGGCUCUGCACUUUCUCCGUCAUCACCUGUCACCUACUCUGAAAGAUGAGUAUAUGGCUGAGCGCAGUGCUUCUGGCCUUUGGACCGCUCUUAAACAGCGGUUUGAGCGGCUGAAGUACACUGUGAAGCCACGUGCAGAGGCAGAGUGGAUCCGUCUGAGGUUUGCGGACUUCAAGACGUCCUCACGGAACUACCGCCAGGGCAACUACACGAGGUAUUCAGAGUUGAUUGGCGUCCUCCAGGUGGCGGAGGCGCAGGACGAGGUUCUCAAAAAGAACUUUGUCGCGCAACCACUUGGGAGGAGUUCUCGCCAGUAGGUGAACGCUCUCAAAGUCCGCAAGCCUCAACAGAAGAAGAGGGGCCGGAAGGCGGCUAAGCAGAACAAGCCGGGCAAGGGAGGGCAAAGGCCUCAGGACUGCUUCCGUUGUGGCUUGGUGGAGCAUUUCUCCCGCCAGUGCCGCGCACCACAGGAGGUCGUUGAUGCAUAUAAGGCUCGGAAGGCGCGUGAGACGCACCUCGCCUUGGUUCAGGAGGGAGCACCACCGGCGCCCAUGGCGGCACCCGUGAUGAUCGCUACUCCCCCUGCUGCGCCCAUAGAGGCGACCCCAGUGGUGCCCAUCGCAGCAGCUUUGGCGGUCUCUACCGACGCCCACGUCGCCAUGGAGGUUGACCACAUGGUCGCCUUGGCGGCGCCGCACUAG